rnacentral:lncRNA from 1 species
GUUUGACACCCCUUCAUAUAGGGGUCGUUUGGUUAGAUGUAAUUAUAAAAGCAAUGUAGUUAGAGAUACAUGCAGUUGGAAAUAUAGUAGUUAUAACUAGAUGAAUCUUGUUUGGUUAGAUAUAGUAGAAAACGCUACAAGUAUAAAUAAUUUGUUUGGUUGCAUGCAGUUGAGAAAUAAUUUUUAAAAUUUUAUUAUUUUAUAUAUAUGAUGGUGAGAUUACCUCCAUGUA